rnacentral:lncRNA from 1 species
AGAGUUUCCGCACCCGGGAGGGAGAUGCGGCCGGGGCUCAGGCUCCUUGCAGAUUCCUAACCAGCAUAAUGCUGGAGCCGGGAGCCACCAACCUGCAGUUUUCAGAAUGGCCGUGUUGGACACUGAUUUGGAUCACAUUCUUCCAUCUUCUGUUCUUCCUCCAUUCUGGGCUAAGUUAGUAGUGGGAUCGGUUGCCAUUGUGUGUUUUGCACGCAGCUAUGAUGGAGACUUUGUCUUUGAUGACUCAGAAGCUAUUGUUAACAAUAAGCACACCCUGCUGUGGAGGCUCCACUUAAUCAAAUAUUUAGAACCUCGUUGGUGUUCAUUUCCUGUUCAAAGGGAGGAAAAGAUCCUCUGCCGAAGCCCUUCACAGCUGACCGGGUACUUCUGUAAGAGUGUAGAAGAAGGACCUCCAAGCAGAAACGCCCCUGGGGGACCUGUGGCAUCAUGACUUCUGGGGCAGUAGACUGAGCAGCAACACCAGCCACAAGUCCUACCGGCCUCUCACCGUCCUGACUUUCAGGAUUAACUACUACCUCUCGGGAGGCUUCCACCCCGUGGGCUUUCACGUGGUCAACAUCCUC